UACGUAGGAAGCUAGCGUUAUCCGGAUUUAUUGGGCGUAAAGCGGGCGUAGGUGGUUCUUCAAGUCUGGUGUGAAAUCUCCUGGCUUAACUGGGAGGGUGCAUCAGAUACUGUUGGACUGGAGUGCAGCAGAGGGAGGUGGAAUUCCCGGUGUAGUGGUGAAAUGCGUAGAUAUCGGGAGGAACACUAGUGGCGAAGGCGGCCUCCUGGGCUGUAACUGACACUGAGGCCCGAAGGCGUGGGGAG
rnacentral:rRNA from 1 species